GAUGAACGCUGGCGGCGUGCUUAACACAUGCAAGUCGAACGGACAGACCCUGCUUUUGUGGGGUGCUCGAUUGGCGAACGGGUGAGUAACACAUGAGUAACCUCCCCUUAUCUUUCGGGUAUCUUCACGAAACUGGGGCUAAUACCGCAUAGGAGCUCCUGCUCCAUGGUGGUGGUUGGAAAGUUUCGGCGGUUGGGGAUGGACUGGCUGCUUAUCCGCUUGUUUGUGUGGUAGGUGUUUACCAGGCCUUCGACGGAUAGCCGGCCUAAGAGGUGUACCGGGGACAUGGCGACUGAGAGACGCCGCAGACGCGUACGGGAGGCAGCAGUGGGGAGUAUGGCACAGUGGGCGGAAGCGAGAUGUAGAGACGCCGCGUGCGGAAUGACGGCUUUCGGGUGGUAAACCGCUGUGGCCUGUGACGAAGCGUGAGUGACGGUAAUGGGUAAAGAAGCACCGGCUAACUACGUG
rnacentral:rRNA from 1 species